rnacentral:misc_RNA from 1 species
GGUCUGCGAGUUCGCGGGAGAGUAAGUUAUUGCCAGGGUUUUUAUUUUAUACUUUAAACAUUGAUUUUAUUUUUUAUGUUUUUAGAUGUUCAUGUUUUUGAAUGUUUUAUUUAAAUAAUAUAAAAAAUAAAAUAUAUAUUGACAUGGAUUAAACAAAGAUAUAUAUUAUUCUAUGUUGCAUAAACAAAUUGGCAAAAUAGAGAUGAAGA